rnacentral:rRNA from 1 species
CGGGAGUAAUGUCCCGUCAUCCAUGACUGAAUCAAUAGGUCAUGAGAAGGGCACGCGGGGAACUGAAACAUCUAAGUACCCGCAGGAAGAGAAAGUAAUAACGAUUUCCUAAGUAGCGGCGAGCGAACGGGAAAGAGGCCAAACCAAAGAGCAUGCUCUUUGGGGUUGUGGGUCAGUAGAACGUACGUGAAAGUCUAGUGGAAGCGCGUUGGAAAGCGCCGCCAAAGAGAGUGACAGCCUCGUAGACGAAAGGCAGACACGGCAAGCUGAUACCAGAGUACCGCAGGACACGAGAAAUCCAGCGGGAAGCCGGGGGGACCACCCUCCAAGCCUAAAUACGAUAUGGUGACCGAUAGCGCAUAGUACCGUGAGGGAAAGGUGAAAAGAACCCCGGGAGGGGAGUGAAAGAGAACCUGAAACCCUGUGUUUACAAGCAGAGGAAGCACGAUUCAGGUGCGACCUUGUACUUUUUGUAGAACGGACCGGCGAGUUACGUUAUGCAGCGAGGUUAAGAACUAAAGGUUCGGAGCCGAAGCGAAAGCGAGUCUGAAUAGGGCGACAAGUUGCAUGACGUAGACCCGAAACCGGGUGACCUAUCCAUGGCCAGGUUGAAGUGGGAGUACAAUCCCAUGGAGGACCGAACCAGACGUCUGUUGAAAAAGGCGGGGAUGAGCUGUGGAUAGCGGAGAAAUUCCAAUCGAACCCGGAGAUAGCUGGUUCUCCUCGAAAUAGCUUUAGGGCUAGCCUCGUAUUAGAUUAUCGGAGGUAGAGCACUGAAUGGGCUAGGGGGUCCAAAGCUUACCGAACCCUAUCAAACUGCGAAUGCCGAAUAAUUGAUGUACGGGAGUCAGUCCGCGAGAGAUAAGUUCCGCGGGCAAAAGGGGAACACCCCAGACCCGCCGCUAAGGUCCCGAAGUUCACGUUAAGUGGAGAAGGAUGUGUGAUUGCAUAGACAACCAGGAUGUUGGCUCAGAAGCAGCCAUUCAUUCAAAGAGUGCGUAAUAGCUCACUGGUCGAGUGGUCAUGCGCCGAAGAUGUACCGGGGCUCAAACGUGACACCGAAGCGCGGGAUUCGUUUUAAGGACGAGUGGUAGAGGAGCAAUGAAUCAGGGCAGAAGCCAGAUCGAGAGGACUGGUGGACUUGAUUCAAGAGAGAAUGCCGGUAUGAGUAGCGAGAGGCAAGCGAGAAACUUGCCCGUCGAAAGCCUAAGGUUUCCUGGGGAAGGUUCAUCCGCCCAGGGUAAGUCGGGACCUAAGCCGAGGACGGAAGUCGUAGGCGAUGGACAGCAGGUGGAGAUUCCUGCACCGCCUUGAGAAUGAAGCAAUGACACAGAAGGAUAGCAUGAGCCGGGUGAUGGUCAACUCGGUUUCCACAGCGAGGGUGCUUGGUAGUGAAGUACGUCAAGCAAAAGCCUGAGCCGAAGAGGGAGCGAAAUCAAGUAGCGAAGCAUGCGAUUUCACGCUGGCGAGAAAAGUUGCUAGUUUAUCGAAAAGGCGCCCGUACCGCAAUCCGACGCAGGUAGGCGAGAAGAGAAUUCUAAGACGAACGGGAGAAUCCUUGUUAAGGAACUCGGCAAAAUGACCCCGUAACUUCGGGAGAAGGGGUGCCGAUGGAAACAUCGGUCGCAGAGAAUAGGCUCAAGCAACUGUUUAGCAAAAACACAGGUAUCUGCGAAAGAGAGAUCUGACGUAUAGGUGCUGACACCUGCCCGGUGCUGGAAGGUUAAGGGGAAAUGUUAGGGCAACCGAAGCAUAGAACCGAAGCCCCAGUAAACGGCGGCCGUAACUAUAACGGUCCUAAGGUAGCGAAAUUCCUUGUCGGGUAAGUUCCGACCCGCACGAAUGGUGUAA